CAGUCCACGCUUUCCUCUCAGAAUGCUACACGUACACAAUGCAGACAACCUCAGGCCCUGUGGGAGAACGGAGUCCCUCAAAUGGCGAGAGGUGUCCCGGGAGGCGACUCACCUGAGUGGGGGGCGGAACCCCGCCCAUCCACCAGGGAUUUAAGCGGCUGCCGGGAGCACCUGCGACCCUGCCUGCGGGAACAGGGGCGGGGCACGGCAGUGAGCGAGGCGGUUCGUGCGGGCAGGGCAAGCAGGAGGGGCACGGCCACCUCCCAGCUCUCUCAGUUUUUGUCAAUCUGAACCAUCCAGUGGUAGAAGACAUGCAGAAGGACUACUCAAUGAGUUGCAUUUUGAACAAGGAGUCUCACAAGGACGAGGUAACAGUCAAGCCUGCUCCGUCAGGGCAAAAAUCUUUUCACAAAACCUUCCCAGACUGGAGGAAGUGAAACUGUUUCAC